UUUACCUCAGAUAUAAUAAAUAAGCCGCUCGGAGUCACCUUAGUGGCGGCGGGGGAAGAAUGGGCGGCAUAAAAACAAACAAACAAACAAACAAACAAACAAUAAAUACAAAUAAAAUGAGAAAUGAAACGAAACGAAGACACUGGCUGUAUAGAAACCGUUGGUACUGGUUGCGCGUGUGUUGCUAUGGUUCUCUUGGCGUGUGCUAAUUUGCACCCACUUGGGAGAACACCUGUGGGCUGCAAAACCCAUUGAUGGGGACUCUGUCCUUUGUUCAGCAGCCAUACGUGGACGAACAUGUGUUAUAUUUACCCAAAGUUCUCUUCCAGAUGCCUCCAUUAAAUAAAGUGGUGAUAUCCUUCAAAUUACUCAUUGAUACUUA